GACGAACGCUGGCGGCGUGCCUAAUACAUGCAAGUCGAGCGAAUCUGCUGGGAGCUUGCUCCUUGAUGAUUAGCGGCGGACGGGUGAGUAACACGUGGGUAACCUGCCUGUAAGACUGGGAUAACUCCGGGAAACCGGGGCUAAUACCGGAUAACUUUUUUCUUCGCAUGAGGGAGAAUUGAAAGAUGGCUUCGGCUAUCACUUACAGAUGGACCCGCGGCGCAUUAGCUAGUUGGUGAGGUAACGGCUCACCAAGGCGACGAUGCGUAGCCGACUUGAGAGGGUGAUCGGCCACACUGGGACUGAGACACGGCCCAGACUCCUACGGGAGGCAGCAGUAGGGAAUCUUCCGCAAUGGACGAAAGUCUGACGGAGCAACGCCGCGUGAGUGAUGAAGGGUUUCGGAUCGUAAAACUCGGUUGUUAGGGAAGAACAAGUAUCGUUCGAAUAGGGCGGUACCUUGACGGUACCUAACCAGAAAGCCACGGCUAACUACGUG
rnacentral:rRNA from 1 species